AGCUGAUGUUGGAUUGAUGGCAAAGAGAGAGGGACUUAAGUGAGAGCGGAAACACAAGCACAAGAACCCCAGGGGGAUUCAAUGGAGCAUGAAGACCUGCACUGAGACCCUCACCCUGAGCCUGAGUCUCACCUCCCAGAGCUUUGCAAGCCUCUCCCUGUUCUUUAUUUUUGAUUAAAUAGACGUUAAGCUUC